rnacentral:rRNA from 1 species
AGAGUUUGAUUAUGGCUCAGAACGAACGCUGGUGGCGUGUCUUAUACAUGCAAGUCGAGCGGUGUAGCAAUACAUAGCGGCGAACGGGUGAGUAACGCGUAAGCAAUCUGCCCCCUGCUCGGGAAUAGGCCGUGCCAACGCGCGGGUAAUACCGGAUAUCGUGGGGUCCUGCAUAGGACCUUGACAAAAGAUUUAUCGGCAGGGGAUGAGCUUGCGUCCGAUUAGCUAGUUGGCGGGGCAACGGCCCACCAAAGGCGACGAUCGGUAGCCGGCCUGAGAGGGUGAUCGGCCACAUUGGGACUGAGAUACGGCCCAGACUCCUACGGGAGGCAGCAGUAGGGAAUAUUGCACAAUGGGGGAAACCCUGAUGCAGCAACGCCACGCGUGGGAAGAAGCAUUUCGGUGUGUAAACCACUGUCGUGAGGGAAUAAGGCAUCGUUUCGGCGAUGUUGAAUGUACCUCGAGAGGAAGCACCGGCAAACUUCGUGCCAGCCGCUGC